GAUGAACGCUGGCGGCGUGCUUAACACAUGCAAGUCGAGCGAGUGAGUUCUUCGGAACGAUCUAGCGGCGGACGGGUGAGUAACACGUGGGCAACCUGCCUCAUAGAGGGGAAUAGCCUCCCGAAAGGGAGAUUAAUACCGCAUAUAAUUAUCGAGUGGCAUCACAUGAUAAUCAAAGGAGUAAUUCGCUAUGAGAUGGGCCCGCGGCGCAUUAGCUAGUUGGUGAGGUAACGGCUCACCAAGGCGACAAUGCGUAGCCGACCUGAGAGGGUGAUCGGCCACAUUGGGACUGAGACACGGCCCAGACUCCUACGGGAGGCAGCAGUGGGGAAUAUUGCACAAUGGGGGAAACCCUGAUGCAGCAACGCCGCGUGAGUGAUGAAGGUCUUCGGAUUGUAAAGCUCUGUCUUUGGGGACGAUAAUGACGGUACCCAAGGAGGAAGCCACGGCUAACUACGUGCCAGCCGCCGCAGUAA
rnacentral:rRNA from 1 species